AACAUUUUAGUAUAAAAAAUAUUGCUGUUUUUGGGGCAGUAGAUGGUGGUGUUA
rnacentral:tRNA from 1 species